AUGAUUAAAGAUAGCUUGCUAUUUUUAUGAAGAGCGGCGAACGGGUGAGUAACGCGUGGGAAAUCUGCCGAGUAGCGGGGGACAACGUUUGGAAACGAACGCUAAUACCGCAUAACAAUGAGAAUCGCAUGAUUCUUAUUUAAAAGAAGCAAUUGCUUCACUACUUGAUGAUCCCGCGUUGUAUUAGCUAGUUGGUAGUGUAAAGGACUACCAAGGCGAUGAUACAUAGCCGACCUGAGAGGGUGAUCGGCCACACUGGGACUGAGACACGGCCCAGACUCCUACGGGAGGCAGCAGUAGGGAAUCUUCGGCAAUGGGGGCAACCCUGACCGAGCAACGCCGCGUGAGUGAAGAAGGUUUUCGGAUCGUAAAACU
rnacentral:rRNA from 1 species